GGAACAUUGAUGUACACAAGUCUCUGAGGACGGUGAAUGACCCAUAACUAUGUGUAUCUGACCUCC
rfam:Mesocricetus auratus contig197543, whole genome shotgun sequence.